UGGGGAAUUUUGGACAAUGGGCGAAAGCCUGAUCCAGCAAUGCCGCGUGUGUGAAGAAGGCCUUCGGGUUGUAAAGCACUUUUGUCCGGAAAGAAAUCCUUGGCUCUAAUACAGUCGGGGGAUGACGGUACCGGAAGAAUAAGCACCGGCUAACUACGUGCCAGCAGCCGCGGUAAUACGUAGGGUGCGAGCGUUAAUCGGAAUUACUGGGCGUAAAGCGUGCGCAGGCGGUUUGCUAAGACCGAUGUGAAAUCCCCGGGCUCAACCUGGGAACUGCAUUGGUGACUGGCAGGCUAGAGUAUGGCAGAGGGGGGUAGAAUUCCACGUGUAGCAGUGAAAUGCGUAGAGAUGUGGAGGAAUACCGAUGGCGAAGGCAGCCCCCUGGGCCAAUACUGACGCUCAUGCACGAAAGCGUGGGGAGCAAACAGGAUUAGAUACCCUGGUAGUCCACGCCCUAAACGAUGUCAACUAGUUGUGGGGAUUCAUUUCCUUAGUAACGUAGCUAACGCGUGAAGUUGACCGCCUGGGGAGUACGGUCGCAAGAUUAAAACUUAAAGGAAUUG
rnacentral:rRNA from 1 species